rnacentral:rRNA from 1 species
GCACUGAAGUUGCGGAAUAUAUUUAGUAUAUUGGUAGGGGAGCGUUCUGUAAGCCGAUGAAGGUGAAUUGAGAAGUUUGCUGGAGGUAUCAGAAGUGCGAAUGCUGACAUGAGUAACGUAAAAUAAGUGAGAUUCUUAUUGGCCGAAAACCCAAGGGUUCCUACGCAAUGUUAAUCAACGUAGGGUAAGCCGGCCCCUAAGGCGUAGCUGAAGAGUGAAGUCGAUGGGAAACAGGUUAAUAUUCCUGUGCUGCUUAUAUGAACGAAGGAGGGACGGAGAAGGUUAGGUAGGCCUGGCGAAUGGUUGUCCAGGUGAAAGUAUGUAGGUAGGAAUGCUAGGCAAAUCCGGUGUUCUGUUGAUCUG